rnacentral:rRNA from 1 species
UACGGGGGGUGCGAGCGUUGUCCGGAAUCACUGGGCGUAAAGGGCGCGUAGGUGGCUUUGUAAGUUUGCGGUGAAAGCCCGGGGCUCAACCCCGGGUCUGCCGUGGAUACUGCAAGGCUUGAGUACUGUAGAGGCAGGUAGAGUAUCGGGUGUAGCGGUGGAAUGCGUAGAGAUCCGAUAGAAGACCGGUGGCGAAGGCGGCCUGCUGGGCAGUAACUGACACUGAGGCGCGACAGCGUGGGGAGCAAACAGG